UACGAAGGCCCCAAGCGUUGUCCGGAAUUACUGGGCGUAAAGCGUCCGCAGGCGGUUUAGUAAGUAUGUUGUUAAAUCUCAGGGCUUAACCCUGAGGCCGCAACGUAAACUGCUGAACUAGAGGAUGGGAGAGGCAUCUGGAAUUGCCGGUGUAGUAGUAAAAUGCAAUGAUAUCGGCAGGAACACCAAAAGCGUAAGCAUGAUGCUGGAACAUUCCUGACGCUCAGGGACGAAAGCGUGGGUAGCGAAUGGG
rnacentral:misc_RNA from 1 species